UGAGUAAUGUCUGGGAAACUGCCUGAUGGAGGGGGAUAACUACUGGAAACGGUAGCUAAUACCGCAUAAUGUCGCAAGACCAAAGAGGGGGACCUUCGGGCCUCUUGCCAUCGGAUGUGCCCAGAUGGGAUUAGCUAGUAGGUGGGGUAAUGGCUCACCUAGGCGACGAUCCCUAGCUGGUCUGAGAGGAUGACCAGCCACACUGGAACUGAGACACGGUCCAGACUCCUACGGGAGGCAGCAGUGGGGAAUAUUGCACAAUGGGCGCAAGCCUGAUGCAGCCAUGCCGCGUGUAUGAAGAAGGCCUUCGGGUUGUAAAGUACUUUCAGCGAGGAGGAAGGCAUUAAGGUUAAUAACCUUGGUGAUUGACGUUACUCGCAGAAGAAGCACCGGCUAACUCCGUGCCAGCAGCCGCGGUAAUACGGAGGGUGCAAGCGUUAAUCGGAAUUACUGGGCGUAAAGCGCACGCAGGCGGUCUGUUAAGUCAGAUGUGAAAUCCCCGGGCUCAACCUGGGAACUGCAUUUGAAACUGGCAGGCUUGAGUCUUGUAGAGGGGGGUAGAAUUCCAGGUGUAGCGGUGAAAUGCGUAGAGAUCUGGAGGAAUACCGGUGGCGAAGGCGUCCCCCCUGGACAAAGACUGACGCUCAGGUGCGAAAGCGUGGGGGAGCAAACAGGGAUUAGAUACCCUGGUAGUCCACGCCGUAAACGAUGUC
rnacentral:rRNA from 1 species